AGAAGCCCUGGUAGUGCAGUCCUUAAGCACUUGGCUGCUCACUGAAAGGCUGGCAUUUUGAACCCACCAGCUGCUCUGCGGGAGAAAGAUGUGACAGUCUACUUCUGUAAAGAUUAUAGCCUUGGAAACCCUAUGGGGCAGUUCUAUUAUGUCCUACAGGGUCACUAUGAGCCAGAAGCAACUCGAUGGCAACAGGUUUUGGUUCUUUGAAAGGCCAUAAUUUUCUGCCAGGUGUUUGUAUUUUGAUUAUUUAGCUCACUCUUUGCACCUGCCUUUGAAAGUAGUGAGACUUAUGUCCAGCAGAAUCCUGCCUCCAGCAAUCAUCAGAUAACAUCAGAGAAUUUGGCAAUCCACUGAAGGCUAUGCCUCAAGUUGAAACCCACUGCAUAACCUGUCACUGUGGUAAUAGGAUGGAUUUCAUUUAGAGAGCCGAAGUUGUAUUUUUAUGCAAUCAUUAAUAACGGAACACCAAGAUGGCACUCCUGGGAUGCCCAGAAAGAGCCUAAUGCAUUUCCGACAAUGGAAGUUUGUUGGGGGAAAUAUGAACCAAAACUUGGGUGAGCGUGGAUUCCAAAGUUGAAAACCUGUCCAGAAGGAAUUUGGUGGUGGCGGAUGCGUCACUGCAGGUCCCCAGGGCAACUCAUCUCAUGAACUUCCUUCCCGCUAGCGUCCAGAAGCACUGCACUGGGCACCAUCUCAAGUCCCUUCGGCCGGGCCCGCCCUCAGCGCCCACCGCGCACCGCCCACCGUCCACCACCGCCGCCGCCGCUUGAUUUUCCGAGACUUUGUUCUCGGGACUCACAGAGCUCGUGUCCGGCCUCGGCUUCCUCCUCCGGAGGCCCCGCCUGCUUUGGGAUCCCGGACAGGCUUCGCCAGGGCCGGGCCGCCACAACCCUCAGGUCUUGCUUAAGCCGCUUCGCGGCAGCGGCCGUCCCAAGCAGGAGCCCCCUGGCCGCAGCCCCGCCACCCGGGGCGCGCCCGCCCGGACCCAUGUCGGCUCCCGGGGUCGCCAAAGCACGGGGCCGGGCUCCAGGCCCAGGGCGCGGGAAGGAUGUGGGCAGGUUGGACGGGCUGGAGGGCGGUUCGCUGGGCAAAUUGCCCCAGGUUCUCAACCUUGCCCUGGUUUGGGCAGGUCUGGGAAAAACCCGCCUUCAGGGGUGGUGUGCGCUGGGUUAUGAUUUGGUUUUACCUGAAACUUCCUGAGAAAUCUACAAUCUAUUAAUAAACUCCCAGGUCAUACUCCGCCAAUUCUUUAUACAAUUUUGAGAAAUGUGGAGGUUGAGUUUGUAACUAAUAUUACUGGAAUUUCAGUAUGAGAUCAUUUCUAAAUGGGCUUCCAGAAUCUUCUUUAGAAUAAAAUCACUCUUUUUAAUUUCUCAUUUGAUAUCGAUCAUGCAAUUGUAAUACUUCCUGGCUGAUUCUUUUUAAAAAUGAAAUAAUACAGAAACAAGUCUAACAAAUUCUGACUCCAAAAUUAAACUUCAAAUACAACAAAGGUUAUCUGGUUUUAUGUUCUUGUGAAUUUAUGAAGUUUUUUUUUUUUUUUUAAUUCCUCAUUCCCUCCUUCCUUCAGCCCCUGAUAACUGCUAAUCUUGUUUUGAUGGAUUUACCUAUUCUGGAUAAUUGAUGUAAGUGGGAUCAUAUAGUAUUCGUUCUUUUGUUUCUGGCUAGGGUCGCUAUGAGUCGGAAUCGACUGACAGCAGUGGUUUGGUUUUUUGGUGUUUCACUUAACACAAUGUUUUCAAGGUUCAUCCAUGUGAUAGCAUGUUCAGAAGUUUCUCUUUAUAACUGAGUAGUUCUCCAUUGUAUGUAUAUACCACAUUUUGUUUAUCCAUAAAAUGUGUUUCAUUUUAAUAAAAGCUAUGAAAUUUCAGUUCUUCUUUCAAAGUUGUCAGUUUUUCUCUUCUAAUUAUUGUGCACAAAAUUGGAGACGUUAAAUUCAAAACGUUUCCUUAUCAAUGAAGAAACAAAUAUAUGGCAAAGUAUUAUUUAUUGUAUUCAGAACACCUUAACAAUUAUUUAUUGUAUUCAGAACACCUCCUAGAACUUCAAAGUUUCUUUUUUUAAAAAUAAUUUUUAUUGUGCUUUAAGUGAAAUUUUUUUUAGUGUUUUAAGUGAAAGUUUACAGAUCAAGUCAGUCUCUCACACAAAAACCCAUAUACACCUUGCUACA